rnacentral:rRNA from 1 species
GAGUUUGAUCGUGGCUCAGAUUGAACGCUGGCGGCAUGCCUUACACAUGCAAGUCGAACGGCAGCAUGAUCUAGCUUGCUAGGUUGAUGGCGAGUGGCGAACGGGUGAGUAAUACAUCGGAACGUGCCCUGUAGUGGGGGAUAACUAGUCGAAAGAUUAGCUAAUACCGCAUACGACCUGAGGGUGAAAGUGGGGGACCGCACGGCCUCAUGCUAUAGGAGCGGCCGAUGUCUGAUUAGCUAGUUGGUGGGGUAAAGGCCCACCAAGGCGACGAUCAGUAGCUGGUCUGAGAGGACGAUCAGCCACACUGGGACUGAGACACGGCCCAGACUCCUACGGGAGGCAGCAGUGGGGAAUUUUGGACAAUGGGCGAAAGCCUGAUCCAGCAAUGCCGCGUGUGUGAAGAAGGCCU